AUUGAACGCUGGCGGCAUGCCUUACACAUGCGAGUCGAACGGUAACAGGUCUUCGGAUGCUGACGAGUGGCGAACGGGUGAGUAAUACAUCGGAACGUGCCUAGUAGUGGGGGAUAACUACUCGAAAGAGUGGCUAAUACCGCAUGAGAUCUACGGAUGAAAGCAGGGGAUCGCAAGACCUGGUGCUACUAGAGCGGCCGAUGGCAGAUUAGGUAGUUGGUGGGAUAAAAGCUUACCAAGCCGACGAUCUGUAGCUGGUCUGAGAGGACGAUCAGCCACACUGGGACUGAGACACGGCCCAGACUCCUACGGGAGGCAGCAGUGGGGAAUUUUGGACAAUGGGCGCAAGCCUGAUCCAGCAAUGCCGCGUGCAGGAUGAAGGCCUUCGGGUUGUAAACUGCUUUUGUACGGAACGAAAAGCCCUGGGUUAAUACCCUGGGGUCAUGACGGUACCGUAAGAAUAAGCACCGGCUAACUACGUGCCAGCCGCCGCAGUAAAAC
rnacentral:rRNA from 1 species